rnacentral:rRNA from 2 species
UUUAUGGAGAGUUUGAUCCUGGCUCAGGAUGAACGCUGGCGGCGUGCCUAAUACAUGCAAGUCGAGCGAACAGAUAAGGAGCUUGCUCCUUUGACGUUAGCGGCGGACGGGUGAGUAACACGUGGGUAACCUACCUAUAAGACUGGAAUAA